rnacentral:misc_RNA from 1 species
AAAUAUUGAGCUUGCGCUUGGUCCCCAUCCUUCAAAUUUAACUCGCAUAUUGAUAUAUACAAGAUUUAUACAAAUCUUACAGAACACAGGAAAUAUAAGGCAAAAAUAACAACUGGCCAACAGAUCUAUAUUUUGCUACAGCCCGUGCAAACCUGGGUAAUCAAAGCCGAGUUUUAUACAGUGAAAGAUGGGGACCAAGCGCAAGCUCAAUAUUUACUCCAACAGACAACAAAAUUUGAAAAGAGCUUUAGGAACUAUAUUUCCUCUCUGAAGAAGAAGAUGAAACUUCAAAAUAAGUUGGUUUUGGAGUUGAGGGGCAACCAACAGAAUGUAGUAAUUCUUCCACAGCCAAAACACGAAACUUUGGAGGUAAAUUGAACGCAACAUUGUCAACUCGGUGCUGAAAGAUCUUCCCAUUCCUGUCUAGUUUGUACUCAGAUAAACCAUCAAAUCGGGCAUGACUCUCCCAUGGGACUCGAGGGAUGCCAUGCACAGUCCAUCGAACCAUUAUGACAUUCUCCACAGGUUGUGACACACUGAUGACGUCAACCCACAAAGCCCUGAAAAAUAGCUUUCCAUUGAAUCGCAGAGCCCAAAAGAUUGAUUUGUAGUUCUCAAUGCCAACAAAAGUAUUGAGUGGAUCUUUAAAUACGACAUCAUCCCUGUAGAUAUCAAAACUAAGCUCCCUAUAAAAGAGCUCGGGAAACUCCUCUCUCAAAGUCCUAAUCGCAUAGCCCAAAUUUACAUAGUAAUUUUGCUUCUCCUCUUCCUGUUCGCUCAGCUUCGUUUCUUGCUUCACCGGAGCCGAAAAUUGACCGUACAAGCACGUGUUUUGAUUCAACUGCGAAACCCUAUCCUCAAAACCUUUAAAACCGAUCCUAGCUGCAGCCCUAGCUCUAGACCCAAUCCUUUCAUCACUUCUCGACACCGAGAGGCUCUUGCUGACGCGAGGGUUGGGAUUAGGCUUAAAGAUAAUUUUCAAGGCGGAGAUCUCUGGUGUGUGGACGAAAAGCGCCAUCAGGAAUUGGGGUUUUGUGUGAAUUUAGGGUAGAAGGAGAAUGAAUUAAUCGAAAGGCAGACGAGAGAAUGACAUCUCCCGGGCAAAAUGUGGUGCGAGUGCGCAAACCCAGUCGGACUGGCGAUCGAAUUUGAAAGGGUCAAUAGAAAAUCUUUUUGGAUAAUUGGAAUUAUCAAG